UGUCCCUUACCCUCAGGUAGGUGGAUAGGUCUGGGUUAGUGGUUAGGCUUAAGAGGUUAGGUUUAGGGGUCGUUGUCUCUGACCCUCAGGUAGGUGGAUAGGUCUGGGUUAGUGUAGAGUUCAAGGUCCGGGGUUAGGUUUAGGGGUUAGUGGUUAUUGUCUCUUACCCUCAGGUAGGUGGAUAGGUCUGGGUUAGUGUAGAGUUCAAGGUCCGGGGGUAGUGGUUAGGCUUAGGGGUUGUUGUCUCUUACCCCCAGGUAGGUUGAUGGGUCUGGAUUAGUGGUUAGGGGUUGUAGUCUCUUACCCUCAGGUAGGUUGAUGGGUCUGGUAUAGGGUUAGGGGUUGUAGUCUCUUACCCCCAGGUAGGUUGAUGGGUCUGGUAUAGGGUUAGGGGUUGUUGUCUCUUACCCCCAGGUAGGUUGAUGGGUCUGGUAUAGGGUUAGGGGUUGUUGUCUCUUACCCCCAGGUAGGUUGAUGGGUCUGGUAU